AAGACCUUGCGUUUUUGGAGCGGCCGAUGUCUGAUUAGCUAGUUGGUGGGGUAAUGGCCUACCAAGGCUUCGAUCAGUAGCUGGUCUGAGAGGACGGCCAGCCACACUGGGACUGAGACACGGCCCAGACUCCUACGGGAGGCAGCAGUGGGGAAUUUUGGACAAUGGGCGCAAGCCUGAUCCAGUCAUGCCGCGUGAGUGAAGAAGGCCUUCGGGUUGUAAAGCUCUUUCAGCCGAGAAGAAAAGAUUGCGACUAAUAAUCGCGAUUCAUGACGGUACCGGCAGAAGAAGCACCGGCUAACUACGUGCCAGCAGCCGCGGUAAUACGUAGGGUGCGAGCGUUAAUCGGAAUUACUGGGCGUAAAGGGUGCGCAGGCGGUUUUGUAAGUCAGAUGUGAAAUCCCCGGGCUUAACCUGGGAACU
rnacentral:rRNA from 1 species